rnacentral:lncRNA from 1 species
CUGGGACUUCCCUAUUUCACUAAAGAAGUUAGACAUUCACAUGCAUUGAUUUUCAAUAGGAGUUGUGUGCCUACCUCUCUCUGACCCUUUUUAAAAUGUUUCUUUAACUCCCUAUUUGUCCUCUAAACAGUUCCUUCUCAGAGGCCCGUUCAAUGGCUGAGAUGAGUCCUGGAGCCUGUGACCAAGUGGGCGUGUGUUAAUGUUGUCUGCACAGGAGCACUGUCAGGAGCAUCUUGGAAGCCCGCAAGAAACAGAGGAAUUGUCUCCUUUCACUAAAUGACCUUUGAAACAUCAAAUGUCUUCAUCAUCAUGACACCUACAAGGAGCUUUCCCACAGCCAGGUUAAAGGAGGAGUGGGGGUGGCCCUGCUCUGCAGCUUCCCUGAAAGACAAGAAAAAGGAAUGUCAGAGGAAAAGGAAAAGAAGGAAACCCUGAGAGGAUCCUCCCUGUGAAUGAACUAACCCAGAAAAAGGGCAAACAAUGAGAAGGUAUGAGUAUAUUUAGAUUCUUAAGUGGGGUUCGUAUUUAAAGUGUGAGA